GAUGAACGCUGGCGGCGUGCCUAAUACAUGCAAGUCGAGCGAACGGACGAGAAGCUUGCUUUUCUGAUGUUAGCGGCGGACGGGUGAGUAACACGUGGAUAACCUACCUAUAAGACUGGGAUAACUUCGGGAAACCGGAGCUAAUACCGGAUAAUAUUUUGAACCGCAUGGUUCAAAAGUGAAAGACGGUCUUGCUGUCACUUAUAGAUGGAUCCGCGCUGCAUUAGCUAGUUGGUAAGGUAACGGCUUACCAAGGCAACGAUGCAUAGCCGACCUGAGAGGGUGAUCGGCCACACGGGAAGUGAGACACGGUCCAGACUCCUACGGGAGGCAGCAGUAGGGAAUCUUCCGCAAUGGGCGAAAGCCUGACGGAGCAACGCCGCGUGAGUGAUGAAGGUCUUCGGAUCGUAAAACUCUGUUAUUAGGGAAGAACAUAUGUGUAAGUAACUGUGCACAUCUUGACGGUACCUAAUCAGAAAGCCACGGCUAACUACGUG
rnacentral:rRNA from 1 species